ensembl:antisense Gm28364 predicted gene 28364
AACAGCGGCCAGAGGCAUGCUGGGAAGCAAGUGACACAAAGAAGGCUCUUGAGGUCCUAGAUUCAUAUACCUUCCCUCCUCCUUGGUCUCAAUUCCUAGAUGCCUCCUCAAAGCCACCUCCUCCCUCAGUCUCUUGGGUCUCCAGGCCAAGGUUCUGCUCACACUCACACACUGCAGAAGCCCAAGGACUCCACGGAGUUAGACUCACUCUCCUCCCCCUCUCCCAGGCUGGGCUGGGAGGCGACUGUCUCAGGUCUGAACACACCCACCACCUACAGCUCUCUUCCCUAAGGACCAAGGCACGGAUAACCAGAGGACAGAGGACACUCAGACA